rnacentral:rRNA from 1 species
UACGGGGGGGGCAAGCGUUGUUCGGAAUUACUGGGCGUAAAGGGCUCGUAGGCGGUCUGUUAAGUCGGAUGUGAAAACUCUGGGCUCAACCCAGAGCCUGCAUCCGAAACUGGCAGGCUAGAGUUCUGGAGGGGGUAGCGGAAUUCCUGGUGUAGCGGUGAAAUGCGUAGAUAUCUGGAGGAACACCGGUGGCGAAGGCGCCCACCUGGCCUGCUACUGACGCUGAAGCUCGAAAGCUAGGGGAGCAAACGGG